rnacentral:rRNA from 1 species
GAUGAACGCUGGCGGCGUGCCUAACACAUGCAAGUCGAACGAAGCACAUUGGAUUGAUUCUUCGGAAGAAAGAGAAUGUGACUGAGUGGCGGACGGGUGAGUAACGCGUGGGUAACCUGCCUCAUACAGGGGGAUAACAGUUAGAAAUGACUGCUAAUACCGCAUAAGACCACGGAGUCGCAUGACUCAGUGGGAAAAACUCCGGUGGUAUGAGAUGGACCCGCGUCUGAUUAGGUAGUUGGUGGGGUAACGGCCUACCAAGCCGACGAUCAGUAGCCGACCUGAGAGGGUGACCGG